rnacentral:rRNA from 1 species
CGUAGGGGCGAGCGUUGUCCGGAAUUACUGGGGUGUAAAGGGUGCGUAGGCGGCCUUGCAAGUCAGAUGUGAAAGAUCACGGCUUAACUGUGGUAAGCAUUUGAAACUGUAAGGCUUGAGUGCAGGAGAGGAGAGUGGAAUUCCUAGUGUAGCGGUGAAAUGCGUAGAUAUUAGGAAGAAUAUCAGUGGCGAAGGCGGCUCUCUGGACUGCAACUGACGCUGAGGCACGAAAGCGUGGGGAGCAAACAGGAUU